AAUGCUAAAAAGGAUGAGAAAAGGGAAGAAGAAGGAAUGGUUUCAGGCAACGGCUUUUCAUUCUUUCCUUAUUUCUCCAGCUGCUUGUCUCUACCCUUGCAGUGUUUUCAGGCCGUUACACUGGGUUUUCCCCUGGAAGGCAAAACUUGGCUCUUUGCCUUCUGCUUGUCAUCCAUGAAUGAGCUGGCAGGGGGUGGGGAGGGGGGGUGCUUGGGGAGAGGGGGAAUGUGGUUUAGUUUUGGUCUCACUCUGCUUUGGUGGGAAGUUAAAAUUUAGACUGUGCCAACAAUGAACUAAUUUGGGCAACGGACAGUACAGGGCUCCUCUGCCUUAGGAAGAGAUUUGAAGAAAGGUUUGUAUCCGAUGUGGAAAGAUAUUAACAAAAUUCAGGAUAGAUAUCAGGAAAUUCUUCAGAGCUGGUGUUCUGCGUGGGUUUCCAUGGCAGAAACUACCACAAAGCAAGCAGGAACUUGAAGCCUUGAAGAAGAAAAUGACAGUGAACGUUGUUUCACCUUGGCCAGGACAUAUUUCAAGAGAAUUUCAACCUGUAUGAAUGCAGCAAGGGCCUCUGCUGCCUAAAGCCUGCAGUUGGGAGGACCAGUUCGAGCCUGUGAAUUGGACACAACGGGCACCGGACCUCCGACCCCCAGCCCCUGCUCUAAGAGCAGAGAAGCAGCCCAGGGUGUGUGCUGCCUGGCCACUGGCACGCUGUCAGAGCUGCGAGCACCUGGACUUUGGUCUCAUGUCUUGCAACAGUCACAGUCUGGUGACAUGCAGCUUCAUUGGACUCACCGAUUUCAGCAACACUUCCCAGCUGAAAAACAGACCUAAGGUCUGAAUUAUCAUGAGAAUCAGAUGCAUUUUGUCUGCUGAGCACCAGGGCCACAGCAAAUCUGUCCCAAUGAAUUUAAUUCAAUGUAUUUCAAUGUCUUGGUAUCCACCUUGCUAAUAAAACCUACCGUACAUAACCCGGUAUCAAUACACAGUGCACUUCCCUCUGUAUUUUGUUUUCAAAUAAAACAUCUAGAGACAGCACAGGCCACUUCCCUGAGGUAUAAGGUUGAAGACUGCUGCCUGAAACAAAACUUUCCUGAUAUCUCAUAAAAUCUUUGUAAAUGUGACAAUCAAGAGCUCAAGAAAAUUCACCUGGCAACAGCUGCACUGAAACAAAGUUACUGCAGCAACAAGUAACGUCACAGUGUUAAUAAUUGACAUGGAAAGAAUGAAAAGGUGAGCAUGGGAUAAAGAGGACAAAGGAAAGAUUUCAGUAUAAGCUUCUACUGGCUUCUUUCUAAUUGCUUUUGGUGGAUCUAUACCUGGGCAUGAACCAUCCCUGCCUAGUGAAAGAGCCUGUUACCUGUUUAUUCCUGUUUCUUUUGUUGCAGCCAUUGGAAUGGGACUGCAGGAAGAAAGCGAAUACGCUUCAUAUUUAAUGGAGCUGAAUGCAGCUCAGCAGUCAUGGAAACUAUCCAUCAUUUGGUCAAGGCACCUUAGCAUGGAUUAACUUAAAGUUUCCAGACAGAUUCAAAGUACGUUACCUAUUUUCUGACUGUGCAAGGAAAAUCCCUCAUGUCUAAUCUGCAGGAGUACUGUGCACUCACAACUGCAACUGAAGCCAAUGGAAGACUGAACAUAAAUGCUAUAUAAUGCCUCCACAUUAGACCUCAGAAGAAAUUACUGCAGGCUUCAACUGCACUGAAAAAAUUUAAGAGGAAAAUUAGAAUGUAAGUGGCUAUCCACAGAUACCACAAGCAAGAAAGUUUAUUUCCAGCAUUUCCUGCUUGUCAUCCAUGACUGAAAAGAAGCAGAUUUCAAUCCGUGAAACAGCACAUCAGUGAAAGAAGGGACUGUAUGAACAGGACGGCCUACACCACACAAGUAGGAGGCUAAUCUUCUCAGUUGGAAACUAGCUGGAGCAGCCAGGAUAUUAAAUCAGCAACACAAGGGGAGGUUAUUUGGAAGGCAAAUGAGGUACAUGCUCAAAUUCAGCACCUAACGAGCAAGUUGAACCAACAUAGCAAAGAAUAUAAUGAAAAGAAUCUCUUCAAUUGUUUAUGUAUUGAUCCAAGGAAUCCGGGUAAGCAGUCAGAGGAAACUCUCAUUGAUGUGAAUAAAAUUUAUAUAACCAGCAUUACUAAAACCUGGUGGACAACUGGCAUGUUAAAAUCUCUGAUUAACAGGAAGGAUAAGAGAGGCAGUAAGGGAACAGGAUACCUUAAAAAAAACCCCAUGCCAUUGUUCCUUUUAGAGUGAUCAGUAACACAGGACCACAGCUCUUGAAUACACAGAGGCCAAUUGAUAAGAGUAGCUAAAGGCAUCAAGGAAAAAUGCAGUUGUCAGGACUACAGAUAAUAAGGAUUUUUUCAUUAUGAGAGGAACAGUGAAUGUGUAAGCCCAUUCCAAGUUUGGAAUACCUAUACUACAAAUUGUAACACAAAAAUCUCCAGGAGUGUGCAGUAUAUAAGAUGGCCUAUAUUUGCAAAAACCAGGAUGAUAUAGUUACAGUUCUUGCAGAAUUAAUAAGCACUUUUCAGUUCAUUAGAAAUCAAGAAGGGAUAAAAGUUUUACAGAUUCAGACAAUUUUCACUUUAGGUGUCAUAGGGUGAAGAUUCCCAUUAAUCAAUCUUAAAAUAGCAAGACAUUACCAAAGACUACAAAAGCACUAUUAAUGUGUCAAUAUUAAAAAAAAAAAAAAAAAAAAAGACUAGUGGGACUAAAACUGGGCCAAAUAAGUGAAAAUACUGGAUUCAACUAAUACAGAUUUUAAUGAAAGAAUAUAAUUACUCCCAGUCAACAUAUUUUUGGUGUAAAAUAGGUCUUGCCAAACAAAUUUCAUUUCCUUCUUUGAUAAGAUUAGAAGUGAAUGUUGUACAGAGAUUUGUUAGGCUUUCACUUGUCAGACAUAACAGACUGAUAAAAAAAAAAUCCUAUGCACCAUCAGGAAAAAACCUAAGUUAUUCAGAAUGGCCUGACAGUUAAAAAACCACCAAAACCUUCCAGCAUUCCAAGAGGCAAUUGUCACUGAAUAAUGCUAGAAUACUAGUAAGACUGCACAGGUGUCAGUACUAGGCAUACUCUUACUCGACUUAUCCUUCAGUUACUCAGAAUCAGGUAGACAUGGCUAGUAAAGUUCACGAACAACAAAGAAAGUAAGUAAACAAUGAUGAUGAAACAAUGUUCUGGGCCGCUUGGUAGCUAGGUGUAUUCAAAUCAAGUGUAUUUUAAUAAAACCAAAUGCAAAACUUUCAGUCUAAGAAUAGUGAACACAUGCCACACUUCCAGAAAAGGUAACCUUAGUCUGAAAAGCACUGACUCUGAAAGAGAUCUGAGAUUACAACACAAGGUCACAGUAUAAUUCUGUGGAAAAACUGUAGAAAUGCAAUAUUUUGGUGUAUACACAGUAAAAUAGUAAGUAUCUCCACAAAGCAAUUAGGGUGAUUUUAUUUUAUGUAUGGCACUAAUAAACAAUGAUAUAAAAAU